rnacentral:tRNA from 1 species
GGGAUGGCCGAGCGGUCGAUGGCAGCGACGUGAAACAUCGCAGGCGGUAAAACGCCCGGGGGUUCGAAUCCCUCUCCCACCA